AUGUCGCGCCUCAAGGCCCUGCAGAUGGUGAGAACGUGCGUGCUGUCCACGAGGUGGAGGCACCUCUGGUGCGCUGUGCCGUGCCUCGACGUCGACGAGGAGGAGACCGGCGCCUACAACAAUUUCGACAACUUCACCAGCAACCUUCUGCGCAGCCAUGACAUCGCGCUCCUGGAGGACUUCCAGCUGCACGCCUCGACGAGUUCUGACCGUUGGGUCCGCCGCGCCAUUGGUCAAGGCGAGGCAUGGCCUUGCCGGCUCAAAAGGUUGCAUCUCUUCAACCUGCUUAAUCUGAAUCUGACAGAUCUUGGGAGCCUCAUCCGCUUCCGCUGCCAUGCUCUGGAGGACCUGCAACUGAGAAACUGCAGCUUUUUGCUCACCAGCAAUGCUAAGAUCGUCUCCUCCUCACUCAAGAAAUUGGCUACUACAUGGUGCAUGACGAUGAGAUUUUUGCGUUGA
rnacentral:rRNA from 1 species